UCUGGCAUCUGUCAUCCCUCGUAGACGGUUUGCCCAUUGAGAGUCGUGUUCUUCUGGAGUAGAGCGCUAAUUGGGUGGUACUCUUUGCCCAAGGAGGAUUACGUGCUUGAGACCAAUAGUGAACAAGUACCAUGAGGGAAGGGUGAAAAGGACUUUGGAAAGAGGGUUAAGAGGGCAUGAAGCUGCUGGAAGGGAAGUGGAUUGGACUUUUACAUCGCAGUAAGAUUGCAGGCUGUGAUUUCCACUCGUGGGACAUCGCGUGCUGUGUCUCUUGCUGCUCGGUUGGGUUUUGCGUUGUGCCCGAAAUCUCAGCUUUGACUGGAAGAAGGUUUGCGAACUGGACCAUGUCAUUGCCAACUUUUGGCGCAGCAUGCAACCUUGACCAAAAGGUUCAAUUUUACCCGUCUUGAAACACG
rnacentral:rRNA from 1 species